GACGAACGCUGGCGGCGUGCUUAACACAUGCAAGUCGAACGGAGUGGCGAACGGGUGAGUAACACGUGGGUGAUCUGCCUUGCACUUCGGGAUAAGCUUGGGAAACUGGGUCUAAUACCGGAUAGUGCAAGAUGAGCUCGCGGCCAAUCAGCUUGUUGGUGGGGUAAUGGCCUACGAAGGCGUCGACGGGUAGCCGGCCUGAGAGGGUGUACGGCCACAUUGGGACUGGGAAUCAGCCCGGACUCCAACGGGAGGCAGCGGUGGGGAAUAGUGCGCAAUGGGCGGAAGCCUGAUGCAGCGACGCCGCGUGGGGGAUGAAGGCCUUCGGGUUGUAAACGCCGUUCGACAGGGACGCGGUACCUGUAUAAGACGCCCCGGCUAACUACGUGCCAGCAGCCGCGGUAAUAC
rnacentral:rRNA from 1 species